AUGCAAGUCGAGCGGACCUGAUGGAGUGCUUGCACUCCUGAAGGUUAGCGGCGGACGGGUGAGUAACACGUAGGCAACCUGCCCUCAAGACUGGGAUAACUACCGGAAACGGUAGCUAAUACCGGAUAAUUUAUUUUGCAGCAUUGUGAAAUAAUGAAAGGCGGAGCAAUCUGUCACUUGAGGAUGGGCCUGCGGCGCAUUAGCUAGUUGGUGGGGUAACGGCCCACCAAGGCGACGAUGCGUAGCCGACCUGAGAGGGUGAACGGCCACACUGGGACUGAGACACGGCCCAGACUCCUACGGGAGGCAGCAGUAGGGAAUCUUCCGCAAUGGGCGAAAGCCUGACGGAGCAACGCCGCGUGAGUGAUGAAGGUUUUCGGAUCGUAAAGCUCUGUUGCCAAGGAAGAACGUCUUCUAGAGUAACUGCUAGGAGAGUGACGGUACUUGAGAAGAGAGCCCCGGCUAACUACGUGCCAGCAGCCGCGGUAAUACGUAGGGGGCAAGCGUUGUCCGGAAUUAUUGGGCGUAAAGCGCGCGCAGGCGGUUCUUUAAGUCUGGUGUUUAAACCCGAGGCUCAACUUCGGGUCGCACUGGAAACUGGGGAACUUGAGUG
rnacentral:rRNA from 1 species